rnacentral:rRNA from 1 species
AUUACUAAGCGGAGGAAAAGAAACUAACUAGGAUUCCCUCAGUAGCUGCGAGCGAACAGGGAAGAGCCCAGCACCGAAUCCCGCGGCCGAUACCGGGCGCCGGGAAAUGUGGUGUUAGGGAGGAUCCGUUUAUCCCGAGGUCGUGCGGUGCGUCCAAGUCCUUCUUGAACGGGGCCACAGCCCAUAGAGGGUGCCAGGCCCGUAGCGACCGCUGCCGAUCGCGGGAGGAUCUCUCCUCAGAGUCGGGUUGCUUGAGAGUGCAGCCCUAAGUGGGUGGUAAACUCCAUCUAAGGCUAAAUAUGACCACGAGACCGAUAGCGAACAAGUACCGUGAGGGAAAGUUGAAAAGCACUUUGAAGAGAGAGUUCAAGAGUACGUGAAACCGUUCAGGGGUAAACCUGAGAAACCCGAAAGGUCGAAAGGGGAAAUUCAUUCGCGUCUCGACCGUCGGAGCGGAGCGUUCGUGCGACGGACGGCGUACGCGUCGUCCGCGCCUUUCGUUCCGCGAUCCGGCGUCGAACGCGUGCACUUUUCCCCUAGUAGGACGUCGCGAUCCGUUGGGUGUCGGUCUAAGGCUCGCGGUGGAGCCCGAGCGUGCGUCUUCGGACGUUCGCGCUCGGACCCGCGGUGUCCCGGCCGACCCGCUCGACGGUAUACAGAUGGCGCGGGGCCGCAAAUUCAAUUUGCGUUCGGCCCGCGGCAAGCGCGUACGGUGUUGACGGCGAUCGGACCUGGUGCCGAUCCCGUCCCCGGACGACUGUUGGCCGCGGUGCUCUCGAACAGACCUCGUUCUCGAAACGCCAAUCUGCGACGCUAUAGCUUUGGGUACUUUCAGGACCCGU